UACGUAGGUGGCAAGCGUUGUCCGGAUUUACUGGGCGUAAAGAGCGCGCAGGCGGUCGUUCAAGUCGCGUGUGAAAGCCCCCGGCUCAACUGGGGAGGGUCACGCGAUACUGAUCGACUGGAAGGCAGGAGAGGGUAGUGGAAUUCCCGGUGUAGUGGUGAAAUGCGUAGAUAUCGGGAGGAACACCGGUGGCGAAGGCGGUUCUCUGGGCCUGUACUGACGCUGAGGAGCGAAAGCGUGGGGAGCGAACAGG
rnacentral:rRNA from 1 species